UACGUACUGUGCGAACGUUAUUCGGAAUCACUGGGCUUAAAGGGUGCGUAGGCGGCCAAUUAAGUAGGGUGUGAAAGGUUACGGCUCAACCGUGACAUUGCGCUCUAGACUGAUUGGCUCGAGUGAGAUAGGGGUGUGCGGAACUUCCAGUGGAGCGGUGAAAUGUGUUGAUAUUGGAAGGAACGCCGGUGGCGAAAGCGGCACACUGGGUCUUAACUGACGCUGAGGCACGAAAGCCAGGGGAGCGAACGGG
rnacentral:rRNA from 1 species